rnacentral:rRNA from 1 species
UGGGAUUGCCUUAGUAACGGCGAGUGAAGCGGCAAUAGCUCAAAUUUGAAAGCUGGCCCCUUUGGGGUCCGCGUUGUAAUUUGUAGAGGAUGAUUCGGCGAGGGCUCCCGUCUAAGUCCCCUGGAACGGGGCGUCAUAGAGGGUGAGAAUCCCGUAUGUGAUGGGUUGCCUUAGCCAUGUGAAUCUCCUUCGACGAGUCGAGUUGUUUGGGAAUGCAGCUCUAAAUGGGAGGUAAAUUUCUUCUAAAGCUAAAUACCGGCCAGAGACCGAUAGCGCACAAGUAGAGUGAUCGAAAGAUGAAAAGCACUUUGGAAAGAGAGUUAAAAAGUACGUGAAAUUGUUGAAAGGGAAGCGCUUGCAGCCAGACUUGUCCGCAGUUGCUCAGCCGGUCUCCUGACCGGCGUACUCUUCUGCGGCCAGGCCAGCAUCAGUUCGGGCGGUCGGAUAAAGACCCCAGGAAUGUAGCUCCUCUCGGGGAGUGUUAUAGCCUGGGGUGGAAUGCGGCCAGCCUGGACUGAGGAUCUCGCUUCGGCUAGGAUGCUGGCGUAAUGGCUGUAAGCGGCCCGUCUUGAAACACGGACCAAGGAGUCUAACAUCUAUGCGAGUGUUUGGGUGUCAAACCCAUACGCGUAAUGAAAGUGAACGGAGGUGGGAACCCUCACGGGUGCACCAUCGACCGAUCCUGAUGUCUUCGGAUGGAUUUGAGUAAGAGCAUAGCUGUUGGGACCCGAAAGAUGGUGAACUAUGCCUGAAUAGGGUGAAGCCAGAGGAAACUCUGGUGGAGGCUCGCAGCGGUUCUGACGUGCAAAUCGAUCGUCAAAUUUGGGUAUAGGGGCGAAAGACUAAUCGAACC